ACAAGGCAAGCAAAACGCAACAACACAACAACAAGGCAAGGUAAGGUGAAGUGACCCAAUAAUUGGUACUAUUAAAGACAGAAUGGAUGGCUGUGAUAUUUACUGUGGCUAGCUGUUAUUCAAGAGUUUGUCAUUAUUCCCAGAAGCUUACUUCUUGUUUAACUUAUCAGUCUUUUGUUCACUGUACACAUCUUGCCUAGACUAAUAUGCUAUAUAGGAGUUAUGUCUGCUCUAUUUGUAACAGUAAAAUUACAGUUAAAUUUUUGAGAAGUUUUGUCCAGAUUUCAUUGAAAAUGAAUGGGAGGAAUGGUCAGUUAUACUCCUUAAGAGUGUUUAAGCUUCCGAGAUGAGAGCUAAUAAAUUUCUUGAGUGAUUCAUA